rnacentral:lncRNA from 1 species
CAUUUGAUAAAGCAAUUAAACUGAGAUCAUAAUAAACUAUAAAUAUAAAACAUCAAAAAAAUAAUGGCAAGAGACAGAUCUGUUUGCACAUUAACAAAAAAUCUUACUCGUACUUGUGUAUUUCAAUUCUGUGAUGAAUCCAGUGGAUUAGCAUGGAUUAUUUCAUCAUUGGAGACUAAACACACCAUAACAUACAAGUAAGAUUUUAUGCAUCAUGUGUUUUUUGCAUAGUUAAAACCAGUUCUAUAUAGCAGAAGUGCUUUUAGCAACAAUAUAAGUAGAAUCUGUCUAUCAUGACAUCUUCUGGAUGGAAAUUUGUUUAAAAAUAAGACAGAGAUCUUGUUUAAAUAGGAUAUAAUACAUAUUCUAAUUUUUAUAUAAAUAAACUAAUUAUAGAUACCAGAAUUCAAAUUUUAUAUUUAUGCCAGACAUGUGUCAGUUAAAAAUAUUAAUGUUCAAUAAAUAUUUCACACACAGCUUGCUUGAUUAUGGUGAGUUUAUCUGAACAGGUUUCACUGUUAUGGAAGAAAUUACAUUAAUGAAAAAAACAAUCAAUGUUUAAACUCCAUUACACUGUAUGUAGCACUUUACUCAAAACUAUUAGGACAAGUAAGCAAUACAGAAAAAUUUCUUUUCUUAUUGGUUUUAUGAACAAUCUUAUGUUUAUUCAAGUAAAUUGACUGCAUUUUUCUAAUAUUUCUACUUAUUAUUAAAAAAUGUAUUCUGAAUACUUUUUGGCCUACUAUAAUUAUAUUGUCAAAUUUAUUGGUACAUAUACAGAAUAUAUUUUCAUAAUUCAUGCCCCUCCCUUAAAACUUUGUUAAAGUGUUAUUAAGAAGGCACCUUAUCAAUAAUGAACAAUGAACCUGUAAAACAAAGAGAUAGCAUAUUCUUAUUUUUACAGUGAUGUGGUUUACUGAGCCUGUUAUUGUAGAUAUGAUCCUUGAAAACGUAUCAAUCUUUUAUAUAAACUUUUGUCUAAAAGGUUAACAAUUCAGCACUGUUAAUAAGCUCUUUGAAUAUUUAUCUUAUCAGUAUAUCUGAUGUGAAAUUAGCUCAUUGGCAAUCAUACCACAUCAUCUGUUCAUCAUAUUUUUACAUUUUUAUACUUACUUUUUUGAAUGCUAUAUAGAAAUGAUUAAAAUGUCAAAUGGUGACAAUGAAAUAGAUCAUAUUUUUGAUACAUUUAAAGGAAUUCUGUGAAUACGAUGAUAUGGAUUAUGAUUGUUCUGCCCAAAAAUUCUAAAUUUUACUCUAACCAAAAACCUUAACACUAACCCACUUGCCUAAAUGAAAUGUUCCAUAAAAGUUAUGCAUAUAGUCAAGUUCAGGAGGGACUCAUGUAAAGUAUUAUAUUGUCAAUAGAAAACUUUUCUCUAUUGACAUCAUUAUUUUCUGAUACGGGUUAAUUAUUUACAGAUGUUUGAACUAAUUA